CUCAGCCUCCCAAGUAGCUGUGACUACAGGCACACACCACCAUGCUCAGCUAAUUUUUGUAUUUUUAGUAGAGACGGAGUUUCACCAUGUUGGCCAGGAUGGUCUCCAUCUCUUGACCUGGUGGUCCGCCUGCCUCGGCCUCCCAAAGUGUUGGGAUCACAGGUGUGAGCCACCGACCCCGGCCAUAAAGAACUUUUAUAUGACAAAAAUCACAAAGUGAAAAUGCAAGCCAGGAACAGAGAGAAGAUAUUUGCAACCUCUAUAAAUGUCAAGAGGUUAAUACCAAGAAUACAUAAAGAGCACGUCAAUUCAGCAGGAAAAAGCACCAAACAGAAAAAUUUGCAAAGGAUAUGAAUAGGCAGUACAGGGUGGUGGAAACCAAAUGGCCAAUAAAUACAGGAAAGGACCACCAACCUAAAUAGCAAUCAGAGUAACAUAAAUUUUAAAGCAUCAAAGACACAAUUUCAAACUUAUCAGAUUGGCAAUAGUCCAAAAACAUCAAGUUAUUGGCAAUAUGGAGCAAGAGGAAAUCUUACUUAUUGCUGGUGGGAGACUAACUUGUUACAGACAUUUUGCUGAAC
rnacentral:lncRNA from 1 species